GGGUGUGAUCAUACCAGCCCGAAUGCAGCGGAUCCCAUCAGAAUUCCGCAGUUAAACGUGCUUGGGCGAGAGUAGUACCAGGAUGGGUGACCUCUUAGGUAGUCCUCGUGUUUCACCCC
rnacentral:rRNA from 1 species